rnacentral:rRNA from 1 species
CUACGGGAGGCAGCAGUGGGGAAUAUUGGACAAUGGGCGAAAGCCUGAUCCAGCAAUGCCGCGUGAGUGAUGAAGGCCUUAGGGUUGUAAAGCUCUUUCGGCGGGGACGAUGAUGACGGUACCCGCAGAAGAAGCCCCGGCUAACUUCGUGCCAGCAGCCGCGGUAAUACGAAGGGGGCUAGCGUUGUUCGGAAUUACUGGGCGUAAAGCGCACGCAGGCGGCUCGUUAAAUUAGAAGUGAAAGCCCUGGGCUCAACCCGGGAAUUGCUUUUAAGACUGGCGAGCUUGAAUCCGGAAGAGGGCAGUGGAAUUCCAAGUGUAGAGGUGAAAUUCGUAGAUAUUUGGAAGAACACCAGUGGCGAAGGCGACUGCCUGGUCCGGCAUUGACGCUCAUGUGCGAAAGCGUGGGGAGCAAACAGGAUUAGAUACCCCGGUAGUCCC